rnacentral:rRNA from 1 species
CGAUUCUUGGUCAUUUAGAGGAAGUAAAAGUCGUAACAAGGUUUCCGUAGGUGAACCUGCGGAAGGAUCAUUAGUGAUUGCCUUUAUAGGCUUAUAACUAUAUCCACUUACACCUGUGAACUGUUCUACUACUUGACGCAAGUCGAGUAUUUUUACAAACAAUGUGUAAUGAACGUCGUUUUAUUAUAACAAAAUAAAACUUUCAACAACGGAUCUCUUGGCUCUCGCAUCGAUGAAGAACGCAGCGAAUUGCGAUAAGUAAUGUGAAUUGCAGAAUUCAGUGAAUCAUCGAAUCUUUGAACGCAGCUUGCGCUCUCUGGUAUUCCGGAGAGCAUGCCUGUUUCAGUGUCAUGAAAUCUCAACCACUAGGGUUUCCUAAUGGAUUGGAUUUGGGCGUCUGCGAUUUCUGAUCGCUCGCCUUAAAAGAGUUAGCAAGUUUGACAUUAAUGUCUGGUGUAAUAAGUUUCACUGGGUCCAUUGUGUUGAAGCGUGCUUCUAAUCGUCCGCAAGGACAAUUACUUUGACUCUGGCCUGAAAUCAGGUAGGACUACCCGCUGAACUUAAGCAUAUCAAUAAGCGGAGGA